rnacentral:rRNA from 1 species
CCUACGGGGGGCAGCAGUGAGGAAUAUUGCACAAUGGGCGAAAGCCUGAUGCAGCAACGCCGCGUGAGUGAUGAAGGCCUUUGGGUCGUAAAACUCUGUCCUUGGGGAAGAAAAAAAUGACGGUACCCUUGGAGGAAGCCCCGGCUAACUACGUGCCAGCAGCCGCGGUAAUACGUAGGGGGCGAGCGUUAUCCGGAAUUAUUGGGCGUAAAGAGUGCGUAGGUGGUUUUGUAAGCGUAGGGUGAAAGGCAGUAGCUCAACUACUGUUAGCCCUGCGAACUGUGAGACUUGAGUGCAGGAGAGGAAAGUGGAAUUCCUAGUGUAGCGGUGAAAUGCGUAGAUAUUAGGAGGAACACCAGUGGCGAAGGCGACUUUCUGGACUGUAACUGACACUGAGGCACGAAAGCGUGGGUAGCAAACAGGAUUAGAUACCCCGGUAGUC